CUCCCUCCGGGUCCGCCCUUUUAGACCCGCGCUGCCCUCUGGCCGGUGCGGCUGGGCUUCCUGAGCCCCGGGAUGUGGGGGAGCUGGAGAGGCAGGGCCACCCCUUGCAGCUGCCAGUCAUCGUUUCAAACCAAAGUCUCACGGUCAGUGCCAAUUCCAGCCACCACCAAAGUUCCAACACCUACCGUUCAAAGGAACAGAAAACCCCCCCCCCAAAAAAAAAAAAAAAAAAAAAAAAAAAAAAAUCCGGAGGAAAAAACAACCCCAAAUGAUGGGGCCAGUUCUUGAAUAUAGAUGCUCUAGGAAAAAAGGCUUGAAAUACCUUUUGGCCCCAAAGCUGGGAGGCCUUUGGAUUCAGACUGAAUUAUACCACCAGCUUUCCUGGGUUUUCAGCUGGAAGACAGCAGAUCGUGGGACUUCUUGGCCUCCAGAAUCACGUCUCUGUCUGAGGACCUUUGGCUUGUCAACCCACCGCAUAUGUGGAAUGGCCAAACAAGAAGAUGAAUAUGGGAAAGUGUUAGAAAUGCAUCCAAUGACAAUAAAAUGACUGCAGAGACAUUCAAGAUGAUCACCUUGAGUCAUCAAGUUACACUGCAUUUAGGAAGUAGAAUAGUGUUCUACAAAGAGUUCUAUCAAAAACGGUUAAAAAUAUGAAGUCUUAGUAAUUUUUAAAAGCUGCCAUUUAUUGAACAUCAACCAUGUGUCAUCCUCUGUGUUAAGGCUUUUCAAACAUCAUUUUAUUUCAUCUUGGCUUAAACAAGUAUCGUGUCAUUUUAUGUUGUAGAAAGGAAGGUUUCUGGAGACUUGCCCAAGGUCACAAACCGCAGUGAGUGGGUAGUUGGGUCCUAAUCCAAAUUGGUGACACCCUCACCCUUUGAGAGUGACAUCUGAGGGAGGUCCUGGAGACUCAUGGACCACGUGUACUAUGCUUACCAGUGUCCCAAAUAGUACAGGCCUUUGCUUUUGUUUUUGUUCUUGUGUGUGUUUGUUUUUUUGUUUUGUUUUGUUUUUGCAAAUCCAGAGUCAGUAGACUUUCGGGAGAGGACUUUAUUGCAGUUCUGCUAAAGUGUGUGCCGUGAUUCACUGGGAAAUGACUUUAGGUGGUGCUUAGGCAACAUUCAAUGGGACUGAAUCACUCAGUGAGGAAGUUAUUCUCCGUUCCGUCCCUCUCAAUCAUCUCAUCAAGGAGAGAGUCUCCACGUGGUGCUACCAAGUCUGUAACACCUCUUUGGCAUUUGCUGAUGUUGUCUUUUCACCAAAUGCUGCCACAGAUUCAGUGCUUCAGCAGGUACUAAUGUCUAGGUAGAAUUUCAUAGCAUUUUUAAAAAAAUGAUAUUUACUUUUACAUUCAUCAUCUCAUUGUGGCAAGAUGUCUGUUUCUCAUUUGAACUAAUAAAGCAAAUUUCUCUUUUAAAAUGAAUUUACUUUUGUAAAGAUAGUGACUCACUUUACAGAAAAUUGUAAGCAUACACUGUUACCAAUUAUGAAAUAACUGGACAAAAUUGUGAAUAAAGGUAACACUUGAGUGAA